rnacentral:rRNA from 1 species
GAUGAACGCUAGCGGCAGGCCUAACACAUGCAAGUCGAGGGAGAGGUUACCUUCCGGUAACCAAAACCGGCGCACGGGUGCGUAACGCGUAUACAAUCUGCCUUUCACAUAGGGAUAGCCCGAAGAAAUUUGGAUUAAUACCUAAUGGUAUAUAAGAGCGGCAUCGUUUUUAUAUUAAAGCUACGGUGGUGAAAGAUGAGUAUGCGUUCUAUUAGCUAGUUGGAGAGGUAACGGCUCCCCAAGGCGACGAUAGAUAGGGGUUCUGAGAGGGAUGUCCCCCACACUGGUACUGAGAUACGGACCAGACUCCUACGGGAGGCAGCAGUGAGGAAUAUUGGACAAUGGUCGGAAGACUGAUCCAGCCAUGCCGCGUGCAGGAUGAAGGUCCUAUGGAUUGUAAACUGCUUUUGUAAGGGAAGAAUAAGGAGUACGUGUACUUUGAUGACGGUACCUUACGAAUAAGCAUCGGCUAACUCCGUG